UACAGAGGGUGCAAGCGUUGUUCGGAAUCAUUGGGCGUAAAGCGCACGUAGGCGGCCUGCUAAGUCGGAUGUGAAAGCCCAGGGCUCAACCCUGGAAGUGCAUUCGAAACUGGCGGGCUUGAAUGUCGGAGAGGGCAGUGGAAUUCCGAGUGUAGAGGUGAAAUUCGUAGAUAUUCGGAGGAACACCAGUGGCGAAGGCGACUGCCUGGACGAACAUUGACGCUGAGGUGGCGAAAGCGUGGGGAGCAAACAGG
rnacentral:rRNA from 1 species